rnacentral:lncRNA from 1 species
UCUGCAGGAUUUACGCGCACGUUGGAACCGAAGAGAGCUCUGUUGUUGCAAUGUUCAGCCCACAAGAGCUUACUGGUGAAGGAAUGGGACAAGACCCAUCUUUAUGCAAAGCCAGCGUUACAGUAAUGUUCCAGCAUCUCAUAAUCUAUCCUGGGGAAUUCAGCUGCCUCCCAGGGUGAAUACAGGUAUUCCUGAUGACAGUCUGCCUCUAUCUUACAGAGCAGCUUGUUGCUAUAUACCAUUGAAAAGCCUUCAGAGCUGAGAGGUACUACUAACCAAUAACCUGCUUGGCUCAAAGGGCCAGCACCUUCUCUCUAAAGCCCAAGAGGAGUUUGAGGAAAACUAGGUGUCUGUGUUCACUCCAGGCUGAAGUUACAGUCCCAGAGCCUGUAAAGGUGAACCCACUGGGACUGGCUGGGGGAGAAGAGGAAGAUUUGUUCCAGAAGGAACUGUCUGAGGGAUGAUAAAGAUUUCUAUACAGAGAAAGGGAGUAAUCAUCACUUGUUGAAAACAUUGGUUUUAUUUUUUCCAGGUCUGAGCAAAUAAGGUGUAUAAAAAAUGGUAGGUAUCUGUUUAAAUAUUUAACUGAUUUUAUAAUAGCAACCUUUUGCUCCUAGGUUACA